rnacentral:rRNA from 1 species
AUUGAACGCUGGCGGCAGGCCUAACACAUGCAAGUCGAACGAGUGGCGGACGGGUGAGUAAUGUCUGGGAACCUGCCAGAUGGAGGGGGAUAACUACUGGAAACGGUAGCUAAUACCGCAUAACAUCGGAUUUGCCAAGAUGGGAGUAGCUUGUAGGUGAGGUAACGGCUCACCUAGGCGACGAUCCCGAGCUGGUCUGAGAGGAUGACCAGCAACACGGGCACUGAGACACGGUCCAGACGCCUACGGGAGGCAGCAGUGGGGAAUAUUGCACAAUGGGCGCAAGCCUGAGGCAGCCAUGCCGCGUGUAUGAAGAAGGCCUUCGGGUUGUAAAGUACUUUCAGCGGGGAGGCGUUACCCGCAGAAGAAGCACGGGCUAACUCCGUGCCAGCAGCCGCGGUAAUUC